GGACCCGCACAAGUAGUGGAGCAUGUGGUUUAAUUCGAAGAUACGCGCAGAACCUUACCAACACUUGACAUGUUCGUCGCGACUUUAAGAGAUUAAAGUUUUCGGUUCGGCCGGACGAAACACAGGUGCUGCAUGGCUGUCGUCAGCUCGUGUCGUGAGAUGUUGGUUAAGUCCCGCAACGAGCGCAACCCUCACUUUUAGUUGCCAUCAUUAAGUUGGGCACUCUGAAAGAACUGCCAGUGAUAAGCUGGAGGAAGGUGGGGAUGACGUCAAGUCCUCAUGGCCCUUACGUGUUGGGCUACACACGUGCUACAAUGGUAUCUACAACAGGAAGCAAAACAGCGAUGUUAAGCA
rnacentral:rRNA from 1 species